rnacentral:rRNA from 1 species
UACGUAGGGAGCAAGCGUUGUCCGGAAUCAUUGGGCGUAAAGCGCGCGUAGGCGGCUCGAUCAGUCUGUUGUGAAAGUCAAAGGCUCAACCUUUGAAUGCCGAUGGAUACUGUCGAGCUAGAGUCCGGAAGAGGCGGGUGGAAUUCCUGGUGUAGCGGUGGGAAUGCGUAGAUAUCGGGAAGAACACCCCGUGGCUAAGGCGGCUCUCUAGUACGGUACUGACGCUGAGACGCGAAAGCGUGGGGAGCGAACAGG